rnacentral:rRNA from 1 species
GGUUCAUUCAAAUUUCUGCCCUAUCAACUUUCGACGGCUGGGUCUUGGCCAGCCGUGGUGACAACGGGUAACGGAGGGUUAGGGCUCGACCCCGGAGAAGGAGCCUGAGAAACGGCUACUACAUCCAAGGAAGGCAGCAGGCGCCCAAAUUACCCAAUCCCGACCGGGGAGGUAGUGACAAUAAAUACUGAUACAGGGCUCUUUUGGGUCUUGUAAUUGGAAUGAGUACAAUUUAAAUCCCUUAACGAGGAACAAUUGGAGGGCAAGUCUGGUGCCAGCAGCCGCGGUAAUUCCAGCUCCAAUAGCGUAUAUUAAAGUUGUCGAGGUUAAAAAGCUCGUAGUUG